CGAGUCUUCCAUAAUACAUUCCAAUCUAGCUUUGAUCGACAAAUUGCCAGUCUCUUCUUCAUCUAAUAUAAAAUCACAUCUUCUCCAUUUUCGUUUCGUAUCUCUUCACAUCUCACCGAUUCCGAAUUCUCAAUCUUCAGGGAACCUCUGUCUGUGUAUCAGUUAAUCGACCAUGGCACAUAUCCUUUGUGGAUCUGUUCAUUUAGAUUUCAUUACAUUUUUCUUAGAUAGUUUUUAGGGUUUUCCUUUUCGUGAUAUUUGUUUGGCUUUAAUUGAAGCAAACGCGGUAACCAGAGAGAGCGUGAUCGGGAAAGAGCACAAGCAAGAGGUAAUCAUAAACCUAAGCAACCUAAGAACGAUGGAUUAACCCCUGAACAGCGACGAGAAAGAGACGCGAGAGCAUUGCAAGAGAAAGCAGCCAGAAAGGCAGGACAGUCAAUGGGAGGAGGUAAUCAUGACCAUUUCCUAGGCGUUGGAGCUAAAAUCAAGAAAUAAGACGCGUUACGGUCUAUAUUCAGUUAGGGGUUUGUGGGACAUUUGGGGUAUAUAUUGUUAAUUAUCAUCUUAGUCGAUUCUAUAUCGUGAUGGGAGGAAAUAUUUUGCUACUGUCACUUUGAGAGUUGUGUUAAGUCUUGAAGCAUUGAGUCUCGUAUGAUUCUUAUCUUGGCUUAUGAAGUUUUUGUUGUACGUUUUGUUUUGAAUUGGAAUGUGUUCUUCUUUCGUUCUUUUGUUUAGAGUUUCUCGGCCUCGGGUUUUGGAUUAGGAUUCGCAUUCCCUUGUUAGGGAUGUGUUGUUGUUCUUGUGUGGUGAGGAAUUCCAGUUUUGUUAUAUAGAAUUGACACUAAAAAUGUUUCAAUGUAUCGAAUUGCGUACUUUGU